rnacentral:rRNA from 1 species
CUUGGUCAUUUAGAGGAAGUAAAAGUCGUAACAAGGUUUCCGUAGGUGAACCUGCGGAAGGAUCAUUAGUGAAUUCAAACUUCUAGAAAGGUGUCAAAGCCCGACUAGUGCAUCGGGUGUCCCUCGUGAUGCCCGGUGUGGAACCACUUUCCUUAACACCUGUGAACUGUCUGUCAGGCCCAUCGCUCUUCGGGGCGUGGACUUGCACAUUACAAACUUACUCUGUAAAAAAUGUCGAAAUACAAAAACAAAAUAAAACUUUUAACAACGGAUCUCUUGGCUCUCGCAUCGAUGAAGAACGCAGCGAAAUGCGAUAAGUAAUGUGAAUUGCAGAAUUCAGUGAAUCAUCGAAUCUUUGAACGCAAAUUGCGCUCCUUGGUAUUCCGAGGAGCAUGCCUGUUUGAGUGUCAUGAAAUCAUCCACCUCACCUUUGGGCUUUUGUCCGAGGGUCCGGCUGGGACUUGGGUGUUUGCGCGGCGAUGAGCCCCGCUCACCUUAAAAACAUUGUAGUGAUCUUGCCUGUUGGCCGGCUUGACUUGGCGUUAUAAAUUAUUUCGCUGAGGACACUCGCAAGGGUGGCCGAUUGACUGCUUGGUCUCGUCUCAAAGUGCUCCACACUUACAGAGACUACAACUUCUUGACAUCUGGCCUCAAAUCAGGUAGGACUACCCGCUGAACUUAAGCAUAUCAAUAAGCGGAGGAAAAGAAACUAACAAGGAUUCCCCUAGUAACGGCGAGUGAAGCGGGAAGAGCUCAAAUUUGAAAUCUGGUGGACUUCGUUCAUCCGAGUUGUAAUCUAGAGAAGUGUUUUCCGUGCCGGCCAAUGUACAAGUCCCUUGGAACAGGGCGUCAUAGAGGGUGAGAAUCCCGUACUUGACAUUGACCACCGGUGCUCUGUGAUACACUUUCGACGAGUCGAGUUGUUUGGGAAUGCAGCUCAAAAUGGGUGGUAAAUUCCAUCUAAAGCUAAAUAUUGGCGAGAGACCGAUAGCGAACAAGUACCGUGAGGGAAAGAUGAAAAGCACUUUGGAAAGAGAGUUAAACAGUAUGUGAAAUUGUUAAAAGGGAAACGCUUGAAGU